UUUGUUUUACACAUUCAAUUCCUGCCGGAAUAGGAAUAUUUGUAUAUAAACUGUUAACAUCCAUCGAAAAAAACCAAAAGUCCGAGGUUAUUGUAACGUCUUUUACCAUCUCUAUAAAAUGGUAUGUGUCUCUCACAUAGGAUGGAUGUUUGAUCGAAAGUGGAUUUAGAUAAUGAUCCAAAUAUUCUGCGGUGAAAUAUGUAUCACUCCCACAGUCUGAUACUAUGGGUCUCCCUGGGGGAAUUUCAAAUGGAAUUGUCCAUUUCUCCGGACUUUUAUGAAUUUUUGGGAGAAUAUAAAAUCUCCUCUCUCUUGGUUCUGAGGUUCCAAGUAGGUACUGUUUUUGUUUUCCAUUGAUAAAUUUUUUCUUUUUUAGAUUGUUUAUAAUUUCCUUUAUUUUUGGUAGUGUUUCUCUAUAAAUGGGUUUUUCCAAUUUUUUGUAAUAUUCUGUGUCAUUCAAUUGUCUUUCUACUUCCAUUAUAUAUUGUUCUCUACUUAGAAUCACUACUGACGAGCCUUUAUCAGCCGGUUUAAUGACUAUAUGUUUUGUAUGCAUUAAUUCUCGUAAGGCUUUUACUUCUUCUACAGACAUAUUGUAUUUUUCAGUAGUCGGUAAGUAGUGUUUUUUUAUUGUCUGCCAAUCUUUUUGUAUUAAUUGUCCCACUUCUGGUGGUAAUUUAUCCAUAGGUGGUUUCCAAUCAGAAGAGCCUGUAAAUGGUGGUCUCUCCUUACCCAUCGAAUCCUUAAAGACUUAGAGGCUGACCAAGUUUAAAGUCUUCCCCCAGUGGUCAAGCAUAGCGGUCGCCGUUUCUUUUGUCCAGUGGAUUCCAUCCUCCUCCACCUGGAAUUGGUCCUCAGAUCUUCUGGUGGUACCGUUUUCUCCAUCAGUUGGGAUUGUGGUGGUAUGAUGCGAGUGGAGGACUCCGGGAGAACCUCCUCCUCUUCUACCUCUUCAUCUGCCCGCCAUUGGUUCAAUACCUGGGUAUUGUUUCGUCAACAGGUUCCAUUUGAGGUCUCACAAUGAGAUCCUCUUCCACGCCACCUUGGAG